GUAGGUGAACCUGCGGAAGGAUCAUUACCAAAAGGAACCCUUCGGGGUUAAUCCUCAACCCUUUGUUUAAUUACCAUGCUUCUUUGGCGGGCUUGCCCGUCAGAAGAUUUCUCAAACCCUUUAAACGUGUCAUCUGAAUCAAAUAUUAAAUAUAAUAAAACUUUCAACAACGGAUCUCUUGGUUCUGGCAUCGAUGAAGAACGCAGCAUCUGACUGACUACGUGGU
rnacentral:misc_RNA from 1 species